GAGUUUGAUCAUGGCUCAGAACGAACGCUGGCGGCAGGCCUAAUACAUGCAAGUCGAGCGCGCCCUUCGGGGUGAGCGGCGGACGGGUGAGUAACGCGUGGGAAUAUGCCCUUCUCUAAGGAAUAGCCUCUGGAAACGGAGAGUAAUACCUUAUACGCCCUUUGGGGGAAAGAUUUAUCGGAGAAGGAUUAGCCCGCGUUAGAUUAGGUAGUUGGUGGGGUAAUGGCCUACCAAGCCUACGAUCUAUAGCUGGUUUGAGAGGAUGAUCAGCCACACUGGGACUGAGACACGGCCCAGACUCCUACGGGAGGCAGCAGUAGGGAAUCUUAGACAAUGGGGGCAACCCUGAUCUAGCCAUGCCGCGUGUGUGAUGAAGGCCCUAGGGUCGUAAAGCACUUUCGCCAGAGAUGAUAAUGACAGUAUCUGGUAAAGAAACCCCGGCUAACUCCGUGCCAGCAGCCGCGGUAAUACGGAGGGGGUUAGCGUUGUUCGGAAUUACUGGGCGUAAAGCGCACGUAGGCGGAUUAGUAAGUUAGAGGUGAAAUUCCAGGGCUCAACCCUGGAACUGCCUUUAAUACUGCUAGUCUUGAGUUCGAGAGAGGUAAGUGGAAUUCCGAGUGUAGAGGUGAAAUUCGUAGAUAUUCGGAGGAACACCAGUGGCGAAGGCACUGUACUGGGCUUUUCCUGACGCUCAGAGACGAAAGCUGAAGGAGUGAUUAGGAUUAGAUACCCUAGUAAUUUCAGCCGUAAACGAUGAAAACUCACUGUCGAGCCAAUAUAUGGAGCGGUGGUCAAGCUAACGCGUGAAGUUUUCCGCCUGGGGAUUACGCUUGCAAAAGUGAAACUCAAAGGAAUUGACGGGGACCCGCACAAGCGGUGGAGUAUGUGGUUUAAUUCGAUGCAACGCGAAAAACCUUACCAGGGUUUGAAAUAAUUUCAAAACUUCUUGAAAGAGAAGCCUCCUUCGGGAUGGAAUUACAGGUGGUGCAUGGCUGUCGUCAGCUCGUGUUGUGAAAUGUCAAGUUAAGUCUUGUAACGAGCGCAACCCAUGUCUCUUGUUGCUGUUUACAGUGCUUAAGAGAAACUGCCGAUCAACAUCGGAGGAAGGUGUGGAUGAUGUCAAGUCAGCAUGCCCUUUACAUCCUGGGCUACACACGUACUACAAUGGUCGAGACAAAGGGUCGCUAACCUGCGAAGGUAUGCCAAUCUCAUAAACUCGAUCUCAGUUCGGAUUGUACUCUGCAACUCGAGUACAUGAAGGUGGAAUCGCUAGUAAUCGCUGGUCAGCAUACAGCGGUGAAUACGUUCCCGGGUCUUGUACACACUGCCCGUCACACCAUGGAAGUCGACCCUUCCCUAAGUCGUUACUCGAACCUGUAAAGGACGAGGACGCCGAAGGCAGAGUUGGUGACUAGGGUGAAGUCGUAACAAGGUAACC
rnacentral:rRNA from 1 species